rnacentral:rRNA from 1 species
GAGUUUGAUCCUGGUUCAGGACGAACGCUGGCGGCGUGCCUAACACAUGCAAGUCGAACGGAGAAUUUCGAAGGGUAACCUGAGAAAUUCUUAGUGGCGGACGGGUGAGUAACGCGUGGGUAACCUACCCAACAGACCGGGACAACACUUGGAAACGAGUGCUAAUACCGGAUAGCCUAUGACUCCGGCAUCGGAGAGAUAGGAAAGGUGGCCUCUAUAUAAAAGCUACCGUUGUAGGAUGGACCCGCGUCUGAUUAGCUAGUUGGUGGGGUAACGGCCUACCAAGGCGACGAUCAGUAGCCGGCCUGAGAGGGUGAACGGCCACACUGGGACUGAGACACGGCCCAGACUCCUACGGGAGGCAGCAGUGGGGAAUCUUUCGCAAUGGACGAAAGUCUGACGGAGCAACGCCGCGUGUAUGAUGAAGGCCUUCGGGUUGUAAAGUACUGUCAUUGGGGAAGAAUGGCCGCUAUGAAAAUAUUGUAGUGACAUGACGGUACCCAAGAAGGAAGCCCCGGCUAACUACGUGCCAGCAGCCGCGGUAAUACGUAGGGGGCAAGCGUUUGUCCGGAAUCAUUGGGCGUAAAGGGCGCGUAGGCGGAUAGUUAAGU